GGCUUCGGCUGCUGGGACACCUGAAUGCAACAGAGCGAUCAUUAAUGCGACACCACUGAUUUUGACCACCAUGGUUUUCCUGCACUGCAUUUCCCAGACAUCAGCUGUCAGUCAAGAGAUUACCAGAGAGUUUGAGUGACGAGAGCAGAGAGAAAACGAGGCGGCGCUCCUGACAACCUCCACCUCCGUCUGCGUGUCCCAACAUGUGAGUAACAAAGAAAUCAAUAUCACUUAUGGCUACUCCAUGGUUCAUGGACUCCAUGUGUGUGAGUGCGUUCAUGUCACCUUUCAUUCGCACCAGAGUCUCAUGAGUUAUCGGCACUAUAUGAGUGUGUGUGUGUGU